CACAUGUGACGUAGUUUGAUCCUGGCUCAGAGCGAACGCUAGCGGGUGGCUUAACACAUGCAAGUCGAGCGCCGAUUUCGGUCGGAGCGGCGAACGGGUGAGUAACACGUAGGGUAUCUGCCCUUUGGUGAGGGAUAACUCGGGGAAACCCAAGCUAAUACCACAUAUGGCCUACGGGUCAAAGGCUUCGGCCGCCAGAGGAUGAACCUGCGGCCCAUUAUUUAAUCCUUGUUGGUGGGGUAACGGCCUACCAAGGGUACGAUGGGUAGCUGGUCUGAGAGGACGAUCAGCCACACUGGGACUGAGACACGGCCCAGACUCCUACGGGAGGCAGCAGUGGGGAAUAUUGCGCAAUGGGGGAAACCCUGACGCAGCCAACCCGCGUGAGUGAUGAAGGCCUUCGGGUUGUAAAGCUCUGUCGUGAGGGAAGAAGUUCUGACGGUACCUCACAAGAAAGCACCGGCUAACUCCGUG
rnacentral:rRNA from 1 species